rnacentral:lncRNA from 1 species
UUUUUUCUGGUUGGCCAGAAUCUCCUUGAGGGCAUCCUCGAUAGAUUGUGAGACCUGCGGAGGCAGAGGUGCCGAGUGAGCUUCCACUGUAGUAGUGAGGAUAGACAACUUGGAUGAAACUUUGUGCAUCCAGUUGUUGAUGCUUAGAAGAGCCUGGCUCAGUCGAUGUGCAAUCACUGGGUAGGCUCGGGAAGAGGGUAUCUCGGGAUCUGCUGAAAUGGAUGGACCAGGAGGAAUGUCUGUGGAGGUGGAGGUAGGUUGAGUAGGAGCCACUACCACAACUGGCUCUUCAGACUGGCCAGUUGGAGCAGUAGUUGCUCCCUUGAAGUUCUUGCUCUUUGGGUUGUCAUCACCCUGCAUAAUAUACCAUGAGAACGAGGCCUUCGCUUUUACCUUUAUAUCAAAUUGCCUCUUUUCUACCUUUAAGUCCGUGAAGUACAUGGUUAAGAAGCUGAGGAAGGGGUAGUUUCUGUCACCUUUACUGCCUACCUAUGUAAUCACCCGAGACAUCACCUUCCCGAUGUUAAUCGGGUACCCCGCCAUGAUUUAUGCUACCACUACUGCCCCGUGAAGAGGGAGUGAGUUGUUAUGAGUAGUGGGAUCCAAUCUGUUGCACCCGAAUGUUUCUCACCCCUUGGCCUCGAAGUUCAAACUUAUUCUCAAAAUUUUCACUCUUGCAUCCAACCAAUCGGGGGUGGUACCUGGGAUUACCAGAUACUGUGCCAACCAAGGACAUACCUCCUCACCUAAUUCCAUAUUUGCCAAAUAUAGCGACUCAUCCUCCUCAUCAAAGCCCAAGUAGUCAUUUAUGGUUUUCCCAUCGAACAACACUUUCAAAUUGCACACCUUGGUCACUUUGGUGCCCUUCUUGAUGUGGGAAACAUUGGUGUAGAAUUCCUUGACCAGGUGCUCGUUUUCAUCCUCACAGUUGUUUAAGAAAUACUCUUAGCCCAAUCUCUCUCUAAACUGCCUUCUCACAUUGGGGUUGUGAGGCAAAAGGUCUUUAUCUACAAAACUUCUCUCCAGAAUUAAUUUCCUCACAGGCCGCCAUUCUCUGAAUUUAUGGUAGGCCACCUCGCUCACAAAGUGGUCUUGCCACACCUCCGGGUUUCUAGUUCAUUCUACCCCGCCACCUGGGGAUCACCCCUUCUCCUACUACCUCUUCUUCUCCUACUUCACCCUAUCCGCCUUCAGUGCAUCUGCAUUGAAAAUUCUAGAGACCUGAAUACUUUUUCCACUAUGUCCUGCACUAUAUCAACACAAUCCUAUAGCAUCUCACAACCAACUAGUCCAAAAAUAAAUCCUCUACUAUAGUAAAAAUCAAAUAAAAACAAAAAAAAACACAUGGGUUUCCUCCCAAGAAGUGCUUGAUUUAACAUCGCGGCAUGACGCAGGUUACCAUCAAAUCAUUUGAGAUGAAGAAGUGCCACCACGUGGCUGCCAUCAAUUUUCCCAAGUAGUGCUUGACCAUAUGCCCAUUCACACUAAAAACUUCCCCAUUUUUGUUCUUUAAAUCAAGUGCAGCAAAUGGGGUCACACAUACCACUUCAAAAGGUCCACUCCAUUUUGACUUAAGCUUUCCUGGAAAUAGACGUAACCGAGAGUUGAACAAGAGAACCAAAUCACCUACUUUAAACUCCUUGCUACGAGCAUAUUUAUCAUGAAGGUACUUCAUCUUGUCCUUGUACAAGGACGAACUGGAGUAGACAUGGAAUCUGAAUUCAUCAAGUUCAUUGAGUUGCUCCACACGAAGAUUGGCUGCAACAUCCCAUUCAUGAUUUAGCUUCCUCAUAGCCCACAUGGUCUUGUGCUCUAACUCAACCGGUAGAUGGAAAGCUUUCCCAAACACCAACCGAUACGGGGACAUACCAAUCGGAGUCUUGUAAGCAGUCCUAUAAGCCCAUAGAGUGUCAUCCAACUUCUUUUCCCAGUCGGUCCUAUUUACAUUGACCGUCUUUAAAAUAUGCUUUUGAUUUCGUUGUUGGAGACUUCAACUUGACCACUUGCUUGAGGAUGAUAGGGAGUAGAAACUUUAUGAUUGACACCAUACUUUACAAGCAAAGUGUCGAAAGCUCUAUUGCAAAAAUGAGGUCCCCCAUCACUUAUGAUUGCACGAGAAGUACCAAACCUUGUAAAGAUGCUCUUCUUGAGAAAUGCAACAACACUCCGGGCCUUAUUGUUGGGCAAAGCUACGGCUUCAACCCACUUUGAUACAUAGUCAACCGCCACAAGAAUGUAAGUGUUCCCACAAGAGCUAACAAACGAUCCCAUAAAAUCAAUGCCCCAUACAUCAAAAAUAUCAACCUCAAGGAUGGUAUGGAGAGGCAUCUCAUCUUUCUUAGAAAUUCCACCCGCUCUUUGACAUUUAUCACACAUCUUCACUAGUUCACUUGCAUCUUUGUACAAAGUUGGCCAAUAUAACCCACAACUAAGAACUUUGGAAGCCGUCCUCGCCCCGCCAUGAUGGCCACCAUAGGGAGAGGAGUGACAAGCCUCCAAGAUACUCACUUGCUCUUCCUCCGGGACACACCUUCGGAUCACACCAUCCAUGCAAAUCUUGAACAAGUACGGCUCAUCCCAAUAGAAAUCCAAACUAGCCUGAUUGAGCUUCUUCCUUUGGUUAGAAGACAGCUCACACAAGAUUAUACCAGUCACAAGGAAAUUAGCAACAUCGACAAACCAUGGCAUAUCAUUCAUCGACACCGAAAGGAGUUGUUCAUCGGGAAAUGAAUCAUUGAUCUCUAGGCCGUCACGAGGCCUCCCCUCCUCCUGCAAGUGGGACAAGUGGUCCGCCACUUGGUUCUCACCACCCUUCCGGUCCAUAAUCUCCAAAUCACACUCUUGAAGUAACAAGACCCAUCGCAUCAGUCUAGCUUUGGAAUCUUUCUUUGUCAUCAAGUACCGGAGUACGGCAUGGUCGGUAUGAAUAAUAAUCUUAGCACCCAUAAGAUACGGCCGGAAUUUUUCCAUUGCGAACACAAUAGCCAAAAGUUCUUUAUCGGUCACCAUGUAGUUCACUUGAGCAUCAUUCAUUAUCUUGCUCGCAUAAUACACUGGAUGAAACAUUUUUUUCACUCUUUGACCCAAAACCGCCACAACCGCAACAUUGCUUGCAUUACACAUGAGCUCAAAGGGCAACUUAUGCUUGAGAAGUUCAAAGGCUUGCAUACAUUUUUCAUCAAACACGAACUUAGCAUCUUUUUCCAAUAACUUGCACAAGGGAUUCACUACCUUCGAAAAGUCUUUGAUAAAUCUCCGGUAGAACCCCACAUGCCCAAGAAAACUUAGAACUCCCUUGACAGAUGUAGGGGGAGGGAGCCUUGAAAUCACAUCAAUUUUUGCUUUGUCUACCUCAAAACCAUGCUUUGAAAUUUUAUGCCCAAGAACUAUCCCCUCUUCUACCAUAAAGUGGAAUUUCUCCCAAUUGAGAACAAGAUUGGUUUCUUCACAAUGGUCCAAGACCCUAUCAAGCUUUUUCAAGCACUCAUCAAAUGAAUCCCCCACAACACUAAAGUUGUCCAUGAACACCUCCAAAAUGCCUUCCACCAUAUCGGUGAAAAUGGCCAUCAACCCAAAAGGCAUCCUAGAAAAUGCAAAUGUGUUAUAUGGACAAGUGAAUGUAGUCUUCACCUGAUCUUUCGGAACAAUCAAGAUUUGGUUGUACCCAGAAUACCCAUCCAAGAAAUAGUAGAAGGCAUGCCCAGCAAGUCGAUCUAACAUCUGAUCAAGAAAAGGCAAAGGAAAGUGAUCCUUGAGGGUCACUUUAUUCAACUUGUGGUAGUCCAUGCAUACCCUCCAACCGGUGACAGUUCUUGUAGGAAUCAACUCAUUUUGUAAAUUUGUAACCACGGUCAUGCCACCCUUCUUUGGUACACAUUGCACCGGUGAAGUCCAAGAGUUAUUAGAGAUGGGGUACACAACCCUGGCAUCCAACAACUUGAUCACCUCCUUUUUCACCACUUCUUGUAUUGUCUUGUUCAACCUCCGUUGAUGCUCCAAGGAGGGUUUUGCAUCAUACAGAAUGCAGGGCUUAUCCCCCGAAUAUCAGCUAAAGUUCAUCCAAUUGACUUUUUCUGCUUUUGAAGCACUUCCAAUGUGGCAUCAACCUGCAUGUUAGUAAGGCAAGAAGAAAGAAUAACUAGCAAAGUAGAAUUUGAGCCUAAGAACUCAUACCUGAGGUGUGGAGGCAGUGGUUUCAACUCUAACACCAGAGGCUCCUCAAUUGAAGGUUUUGUUGGUGGAGUCUUUAUAUUCUCGAGGUUCAAAGAUAAUUUCCUAGGCUCAUAAGAGUAAGAGCCCAUUCCAUGUAAAGCAUUCACGCACUCCACUCGGCUUGCAUCCUCAUUGACAUCAAGAUUCAACAAUACGGCCUCCAAAGGGUCCUCCACAUUGAUCAUUGCACUGGUGUCAUCAACUAUCACUGUUGUAACAAGGUCCACAAAAGAGCACACCUACAUAUUGUUGGGUUGCUUCAUUGAUUUGCAAACAUGAAAGACCACUUUUUCAUCACCCACCUGGAAGGUGAGUUCCCAUGCUUCCACAUCAACUAAGGCCUUCCCCAUAGCAAGGAAAGGUCUCCCCAAAAUGAUAGGAACUUCAUAAACCACCUCACAAUCCAAGAUCACAAAGUCAGCUGGCAAGAUAAAUUUGUCCACCCGGAUAAGCACAUCAUCAAUAACACCCAAUGGUCUCUUCAUCAUUCUAUCUGCCAUUUGUAAUCUCAUGAAAGUCGGUCUCGGCUACCCAAUACCCUAAGUCUUGAAAACGAAAUAGGACAUCAAAUUGAUACUAGCCCCCAAAUCACAUAGAACUAUAGCAAAUUCCGCACUCCCAAUGGUGCAAGGAUGGUGAAAGCACCAGGNNNNNNNNNNNNNNNNNNNNNNNNNNNNNNNNNNNNNNUUUAUAGUUUCACAAUCCAUAGAAUGCUUCUUUGUAACCAAUUCCUUCAUGAAUUUAGCAUAGCACGGCAUUUGUUCAAGAGCCUCUACCAAAGGCACAUUAAUGGACAAGCUCUUCAUCAUGUCAAUAAACGUUUUAAACUGAUUCUCAUUUUUCUGCUUCGCGAGCCUUUGAGGAUAAAGUGGAGGUGGCCUUGGCAAGGUAGCCUUGGCUUUAGGCACAACCAGCUCUGGCAUGUCUAUUAUGUGUUCCCUAGACGGGUUCACAUCAUUUUGAGUUUCCACCUCGACAUCUUGAAUAUCAAUCCUCACUUCUUCAUUCACAUUUUCAUCAAUCACAUUUUCACCCACCAAAGGAACUUUAUCUUCUUGCAACUCAACAUCAUCACUCAAAAUUUGCUUUUGCUUGGAGGCAUUCACAUCACCGCCUCUCCCGCUUCUUGUUGUUACCGCCAUAACAUGAUUGUUCCCACCCUUCGGGUUCACUACCGUAUCACUUGGUAGAGCACCCUUAGGGCGAGUAUUUAAAGACUGAGAUUUGGCCUAACUGCACCUCCAAGUUUCUGAUAGAAGUAUUGUGGGAAGCCAACUGAGCAUCCGAGUCCUCAUUCUUCUUCAUCAUUUGUUCGAACAUCAUUUCAAUUCUACCCAUAUCAUUGCUAGAAGAACUAGGACCUUGAGAUGGAAAUAGGGGUAGAUUGUUCUGUUGUUGGUACAUUGAGGGCCUUUGAAAGCCUUGCCCCCGGUUUCCUUGGUUUCCAUUGUUCCAUCCACCUUUAUUGUUAUUACCACACCAAUUGUUGUUAUUACCAUUCCAAUUUCCUUGGUUGUUUUGAUUGUUUUUUUAGUUGCCCCAAUUGUUGUUUUGGUUGUUGUUCCCCCAAUUACCAUUGCCUUGUUGUUGAUUACCCCAAUUGACUUGGGGUCGGCAUUGUUGUUGAUUAGAAGGGUUGCCCCUUUUGCGAUGAUAAUUAUUCACAUAUUGUACCUCUUUGUUUUGUUCAUCAUAACCAUCACUUUGAAAUCCACCACAAUCAUUAUCAAAUUGCUCGGAAUUCCCUUGGUUUUGUUGCCCUCUUUGUCUUCUUUUGUUGAUAAGCAUGUUGACACCCUCCAUGGCAUUCACUUGGUGAGGAUUUUGAACUUGUUGCAACUGUGUCUUUGCUAGUUGGUUCAUCGUAGUUGUCAACUCAGCUAUAGCCUGCCCAUGAUCAUGUAACUCCUUGUGCAAAUGAGUAACUGUGGGGUCACGCUAGGGCACAUUGGCUCUACUUUGCCACGCAGAAGAAGUGUCAACCAUCUCGUCAAGAAUAUCACAUGACUCAUCAUAUGAUAGCUUCAUAAAGUAGCCCCAGCAAGUUGGUUUACUAUGCAUUGGUUUGUGGUGUUAAUACCCUGGUAGAAAGUCUGUUGGAUCAUCGCCUCGGUCAUAUCAUUGUUGGGGCAUUCCUUCACUAUUGUUCUAUAACGCUCUCAAAUCUCAUGCAAAGGUUCUAUGGGCUCUUGCUUGAAAGCCAAUAUCUCAUCUCGCAAUGCUUCCAUAUGCCCUGGUGAGAAAGAUUUGGCAAUAAACUUGCCCGCCAACUUAUCCCAAGUAGUGAUGGAAUGGUUUGGAAGUCGCUCGAGCCAAUCCAAUGCCUUCCCUCUGAGUGAGAAUGGGAAGAGUCUCAACCUAAUAGCAUCCUCGGACACAUUAGUCUGCUUGCUCACCUAACAUGUAUCCACGAACCCUUUGAGAUGUUUGUAAGUAUUUUGAUUUGUAGCGCCCGUGAAAUACCCACGCUGCCCUAGUAAUGUCAACAUCAUAUUGGUUAUUUGAAAAUUGCCUGCUCAGAUUCGGGGUGGGACAAUAGCACUUGCAUAGCCUUGGUUCGGAAGCACUCUAGGAGCCACUCUUGGAGGUGACGGAGGAGGGUCUAGAAUAUUGUCAUUUGCAUUAGCAUUGGCCUGGUGGCCUCUACAUUGUCCUUGAGGUACAAGAGGUACCUUAUCAUCUCCGACAUCAUCUACCUCCUCCCCCGCAAUCACAUUUCCAAGAGGAUCAUUGGCGUUGUUCGCUACCAUUUGGUACCUGAGUUGUGACACAAACAAAUUAGUAACAAAGAAGGAAAGAAGAACAAUACACAAAACUAGUUAGAUAGAUAGCCAAAAUCAUUAGCUCCCCAGCAACGGCGCCAAAAAGUUGAUUGAAGCCAACCUUACACCACUAUUGAGUAGCAAGAGAGGGUCGAAGCAGCUUUUACCCGAUUAAGGUCGGGAUCGAUUUUCACAAGGAGCUAGAAGUUGGAGUCGGGUGUCUAUCUAAAGUGGAGUUGUGUAUGUAUUCCAAAUUGCACUUCUAAACAUUUUUGGGUUUUGAUUUACUUCUAAUUAUAUAUACUACAAUAUGCAAUUAAACUAGAAUAAGCUAAGAGUAAAUUACUGCGAGUUGUUCAAAUGGUUAAAAGGCACUAGGGUAGUUACUUUCGCCUAGGUAGUCAAUUGACGGGUACUUGAGUCUAAGGCAUGAUUGACACAUUUAGGGAGUAUGAUAUAACCAUUUCACAAUUUUACCCACUAUACACUUCUCAGUGGUUCGAGCGAUUUUGCCCGAAUUGACUUUCUCAAGACCGAUUGAGUAUGAAAAUUUGCACAAGCAAUCUAGGUUCAAGUCGGGUAUUACUAUCUCUAGAUUUAACCCAUUAAUUGGGGCUAUCAAUCUCUUGAGUACGCCCCAAUUCCUUGUUGGACCAAUUUCAGAGACUUAGACUCUCUUUUGUCAAGAAGAGCCAAAGUCAACUAAACCCAAACUAGUGUUUGCAACCACUAAUUUAGCAUAUAACCAUGAAAUUAGUCCAAAUAUCAAAUACCCAUAAACAAUCAAGCAUCAAAACACAAGACCCAUCAAUUAUCCAUACUAGGGUUGAGCCACAACCCUAACUUAUGGGUCUAGCUACUCAUAAUUAGAGAAGAAAACAAACAAAUAGAUGAAGAAAACUCAUAUUAAUUAAUUGCUAAGAUAAACUAGAAGAUUCAAUGUUGAAAUGAAGCUAAAAUUGCUAAAAAUAGCUAAAACUAUCGAAGUCACGAGUGCAGCUCAGUACUUAAACUAUCUGAUGACCUAAAAAUGGAAAAAGAAGCUAUUUAUACUAAGUUAAAAAAUCUGGACAGAAAUACCCCUACGGGGCUAGUGCGGACCGCACAAAAUCACGUGCGGCCGCACUAGGGCUCUAAACUUGAAAAUCUAGCUCUUUGAACUCGGGCAAUGCGGACUGCACAGACUCGAGUGCAGCAGUAUUGGCUUCUAGUGCGGUCCGCAUGAAAUGGAGCACGGACCGCAUUGGUUUCAAUCUCCAAACUGGCACUUCUCUAAUCCUUGGUUCUGCGGACCGCACUAAAUCGAGUGCGAUCGCAGUGACUCCAAUGCGGACUGCAUUAAAUCUCAUGCGGCUACAUUGCCUGUUGGCCUGGAUAUCAGCCUCUCUGAACCUCACUUGUGCGGACCGCACAGAAUGGUGUGCGGCCGUUUUAGGCCUGUUUUGCUUGAGCUUUGUCUUGUCUUGGUACUUGUGCAAGUUUCACUCCCUUUUGAGCUAAUCUUUGACAUCUUGUCACUUUUUUGAUCAAACCUGGAAUCAAGAACAACUUGUGAGCCUUUUGGGACUAUUUUGUACANNNNNNNNNNNNNNNCGUAACAUCACCGUAAUGUAAUACUACAGGGUGCGACACUGUCGUAACUAAUUACUGCAAAGCAUAAUAUCACCGUAAUGUAAUACUGUCCGGUACAACACUAUUAUAACUUAAUACUGCAGGACGUAACAUCAAUCAUAAUAUAUUGCUGCAGAGGAUAACAUCAUCAUAAUAUAUUACUGCAGAGCAUAACAUCGUCGUAAUAUAAUACUACGGGAUGUAAUAUCGACAUAAUAUUGCAGGAGUAACAAGGAAUUAAACUCUUAAUCCCUCCCUAACUUGUAAUACACCUACUACAAGCCACUUUGCAAUACAACUAUUACAAAGACUUCAAUUCAUGACUAACUCUAGUCACGACACAAACACUAAGGGUUUAUGGUUUUUCAAGAGUUCCUAAAAGAAGCUUCUAAAUAAGCAAAGUAGGAAUUACAAUGAAGAAAAAUUACAAAGUUACAACUCACCAAAGGAUAUACAAGAGACUUGUUGUUGGAACUGAUCUAUAGUAGUGUUAUAUUUUGUUCUUGAUGUACUUGAGAACUGAAUACUUGAUUUUCAAAUGCAUGAAUGCUUUUGUGAAUUCUCUAAUUGUUCAAGUGAUGUUUUGCUGUAAUGUUUAAUGUUAAUACAAUAUGGAUGACAUCACUUGAAUGAUGUAAUCACUUGGUAGGUCAAUAAGAAGUGAUUGUUGAACUGUGCUGCACUAUUUCUGUGUGUAGUGCAGGCAGUCACUUUCUAGCUAUAGACAGUUGACUUCGUAUUAUUGUCAAGGAAACUCAAGGGUAUCAAGUCCCUGUGUUGAUUCUCUAUCUUCUGAAGUCAUAGCAACUCACAUUAGCUGGAGUCCGUUGAUUUGAGUUGUGUACCAAGUGUGUCAGGUUCCUUAUCUGGUUCUCUGAUAGUAAGUUUGUUAGAUCAUCAAAACAUAAAGCUAAGGUAUUGUAAAACCAUCAAUUUUCCCCUUUUUGAUUAUGACAAACUUAGAAAUUGAUAACACAUGUUUAAAGCAAAAUUAAUAGAUGAAGUAACAAGAACUACAUAAGUUUCCCCUAACUUAAUACUUCCCCCUUAAUCAGAUCCCUAUUUCAAUUAUGCUUCCUAUUUUUGGAAUCAUUAAAAAUACACAAGAAAGAAAUCAACAUAAAGAAGUCUAGCCGAACUAACUCAUGCCACAUAUGUGCACACAACAUGAUAGAAAAGAGAAGCAGAGAAACAUAAGUAAUAAAUAGGAAAAGAUGAUAGUUUUUAUAAACCAUAAGCCUUUGCCAUUACAGCAAAGGCAAAUUUGGACUGUUAUCAUCAGGAUCAGUACAAGGAAAUUUUAUCCACACCACAAAAGAGGUAGAGGGUUAGCCUAGGGGACACUAGAAGGAGAGGGAUUAAAAGCUGCGGGAAGAGUGUUGAGAACGAGAUCAAUUUGGGCAUUGGCCGACAUUUGAUUUGCGAGCAGUUUCUCCUGUAGGUUCUCCACUUGUUGCCUGAGAUCGGUAUUUUCUUUGGUCAGACGAGCGAUCUCCUCAUUUGAUCCUGGUGCCCCUUGGGCCUGCUGACUCUCCAGAAUGUCAUUCUUUGCCUUCAACUUCCUAAACUCCUCAGUAGAACUAUUCUGGGCAUUGAUAAGCUGAGUGAUUGUUGAAGUGCUUCCUACCCCUCCACCUUUUUCAACACAUUCACAUUCCUCCAAAGUAGUUUGAGAGAAUGUCUUCUUCUUGGUCCCUAUCUUGGGAUGUCACAGAGGUACGUCAAAGAACUUGAAGACAUGCGUGAGAAGAAAUCCAUAGGGAAGACCAUGGUUUCCAUCUUUGAAAGUUGUCACCUUUUGCAUGUGCUUAAUCAUGAUGGCUGGCAAGUUUACAGCGCGGAACCCAUCCAGUGCUUCCAUCAAAUACAGAUCAGACUUGGAAGUGAUGGACCUUCUCUUAACACGGGGUAGAAGAACCUUGUUUACCAACUCAAACAAUAGCUGAUAAAUAGAAAUAAGAGCUUUCUUGUGUACUCGUUCCCCCUGCGGGACUACUCCCUCCUUUACAAUAGCAUAAUAACCGCAUAUAUUCUUGAUAGAGGACAUACCAUCAGCAAGGACCUUAAGUAUGUCCCCAAGCAGAGCAACAUCCAAAACAAUAUUAACUCCAUUGACCAGAGCACACAUAUGAUCAGUUUCAACAGGAAAGAGGUUUGCAUAGAAACUUUGGACCUCAUCCUCAUAGACUUUGGGUACAUCCACCUUGAACAGAUGUCCCCACUGUUGAAAUUCGACCAUGUCUACUAUUUUCCUCAUACCAUCCAUUUUAGAGAUUUCUGGGUCAAAAGUGCGACCCCAUAGAAUCUUUUGGUACCUCAGCCUUUCCUUAGAAGACAUACUUUCAUGUUUCACUCUCUUUGCAGAAUCAGGUUCCCUCCCAGUUUCCAACUUUCUUUUCCCAGACUUCACAUGCGAUUUACCCUUUCGACCGGAUCUCACUAAGAUAUCCUCAUCAGAUAAUGAUUGUUCACCCACUACUUGUUUCAACUUGUCACCACUUCUCACUGACUUUGAACUUGGCAUAUCAAUACCUUCCUCUGAAGCAUUUUCACCAUAUCGCUUAUUUUUCUAAGACUUUUUAACCAAUGAACUUGGUUUCUCUACUACUUCCUCAUCCAUUUCCACUACAGGAAUGUUUUUGUCACACACAACCUCUCCAUUUUUCACUAGCCUCUUUUUCUUCUUCUUUCUACUCCUUUUACUCUUCUGUAGGGCAGACUCUAAAGCCUCCUUUGCCUGUAAUCUAGUAGUAGGACACUUAGGAGAAGGCUCGGGAGUGGUUACUGCCCUCCUUUUGGCAAUGAACGCAUAUAGAGUAACAUUAUCUUGAUCUUCUUCAUCACUAGACCUCAUAGCAGGAGCCAAAAUUUCUAACGGCUCAACAUCAAAGUGAGGAGAAGGAGCAGGGUCAAAAUUGACCUGGGAAGAAGAUCCUUGACCUGUUUCCUCAGGAGAGGGGUCAUGUCCUUCAAGAAGGGUCCCAGUAGUUUCUUCUGGUGCAGGGUAUUCAAAGAGCACCACAGUUACUUCUCCCACUAACGACUAAGUCUCUACUCCCUAAGACACAGGCAUAGUAGAGAUGACCCCACACAUUAUUCCUUUGGCAGAUAUGGCCAAUAUGUUUUCUAUAGCCUCUUUCUCUUAAGAUUCCAUGGGUGCAACAAACUCUGAGAUGGGAACAAUUGUAGACUAAUCAAUACUAACCUUUGAGACUUUUUCUGCCUAUAGAGCCUCACUUUGUUCUCUAUCUUUGCUUUGUGCUGUGAGAAUCUCAGGCGAUAGAGACAAAAAGCUAUCGAGUUUGGGGGUUUCUGAGUUCUCAACACUUAGAGGGAGAGAGAGGUCUGAGGGAGUGAUAGGAGAAAUAUAGGGUGAAGAGGAGUCAGGUUUAGGGGUAUCAUUUGUAGUGGUGGUAGAAAAGGGGAUGGUGAGAGGUGUUUCACUAGAAACGGAAGAAUCAAGGGUUUUCUCUGGGGUUUUCUCAACUAAGGGGUGGAUUAUUGGUUGAUCUUCAGCCAUGGUAGAGAAGAAGUUUGAAGAUUUUACAGAAGGGCUGAAGAGAAGAGAUGAUCAUUCAAAGUGAUGAGAGGGUUUUAAUGGGAGAAAAGACAAUUAUAAGGGAGAGAGAAACCGGUUCUAAAAUGGCGGUAGUUUUGUGGGGAGAUGCAACGUUUCAUAGGGAGGUAAAGGAAUUUGAAUGAAAAAACGUGACAUACAGGGUCUGAAAAGGUUGAUGACAUGGCACUCAAUUUUUAUUUCCUUUUAAGAUAUGUAUGAAAAGCACAAGACUACUAACAUGUGGUACAAGAACUAGGUUCUUGACCUGUCUUUCAAAAGUUCUCAAUCCUCUUUUACCUCUCAUGCAGUGCUUCUGCAGCUUCUAUAAUCAUCAUGUGUGUUUACCUGCAACGGUAUUGAUGUGAGUUUGACUUGACCGAAAAGCAGUUUAGCUACUUUACCUGAAUGUGACUUUCUAGCCAUAUAGAAGGAAUCAAAUUCUCAAAUAGGCUUUAUUAGCCCCAGGUCUAGCCUAUUUCUCUCAAAAUAUUCUCUACUUAGUGCUUUGGUGAAGAUAUUUGUGAUUUGGUCUUCUGUACUAUAAAACUUCAUGCAGAUGAGCCCUUUCUCCAUGUUGUCUCUAAGAAAAUAAUGUCUCACAUCAAUGUUCUUGGUUCUUUUAUGUUGAAGCGGGUUCUUGGAAAUGUUGAGUGCACUAGUGUUGUCACAUAGAAGAGACACACAGUCAGUAUACACACCAAAAUCUUCUAACUACUGUUUGAUCCAUAGGAGAUAAGUAUGGCAGGAAGCUGCAGCAACAUAUUCUGCUUUAGCUUGAAGAAAGAGCAACUGAAUUUUGCUUCCUUGUGCCCCAUGAGAUGAGACAUGAUCCUAGAAAGUGAGCCAUUCCAAAUGUGCUUUUCCUAUAUACAAGAUAACCUGCAUAGUCAGCAUCAGCAUACCCAAUAAGAUUUAAAUUGUCACCUGAAGGAUAGUACAUGACUAGGUCCUAUGUUCCCUUAAGAUAUCUCAAAAUUCUUUUGGCAGCCUUCAGAUGAGAUUCCUUGGGAUUUGACUGAAACCUUGCACAUCGACCCACACUAAAGACAAUAUCUAGUUUGUUAGCAAUGAGAUAGAGAAUAGACCCAAUAAUGCCUCUAUACAUGGUUUGAUUUAUAGGAGAGCUAGAUUCAUCCAUGUCCAGUCGAGUAGCAGUGGCGAUAGGAGUGUUAAUCACUUUUGAUGCUUCCAUAUCAAACCUCUUCAGGAGUUCCUUGAUGUAUUUCUACUGACUGAUGAAUGUACCCUUUGUGGACUGCUUCACUUGAAGACCCAAGAUGAAAUUCAACUCACCCAUCAUGCUCAUCUCAAACUCACUUCCCAUGAGUUUUGCAAAUUUUUCACAUAGUGAAUCAGUUGUUGCCCAAAAAAUGAUAUCAUCAACAUAUACCUAAAAGAUGAGAAGGUUCCUCCCUCGUUUCAUCAGCAACAAAGUGUUGUCAAUUUUUCCUCUUGUAAAACCAUUUUCUAAGAGAAACUUUGACAGUCUUUCAUACCAAGCUCGAGGAGCCUGCUUCAACCCAUACAAUGUCUUGUCCAAUUUAAACACAUAAUCAGGCUGUUCAUGACAUUCAAAGCUUGGAGGUUGCUUUACAUAAACUUCUUCCUUAAGUAAUCCAUUCAAAAAUGCACUUUUGACAUCCAUUUGGAAUAGAGUGAAUUCCAUAUGUGAAGCAAGGGCAAUGAGGAUUCUGAUAGCUUCCAUACGAGCAACCAUCAUAAUCAAUUCCUUCCUCCUGAUUGUAGCCUUGAGCCACUAGCCUUGCCUUGUUCCUUGUAGUGUUUCCAUGUUCAUCAAGCUUAUUCCUGAAUACCCACCAGGUUCCUAUGAUGGUUCGAUUUGAGGUUCGAACUGAUGCAACUCAUCUUGCAUGGUUGUGAUCUAGUCUGCAUCUUUUAAGGCUUCCUUGAUGUUUUUGGGUUCUAUUUGGGAAAGAAAGGCUGAACAAGAAAGUGAAUUUCUAGUUUUUGAUCUGGUUUGUAUUCCUCAAUCUAGAGGGGUAAUUAUGUUGUCAAGAGGAUGGGAGCUUUUAUGUUUCCAGUUGGGCACUUAAGAUUCAUUUGUAGAAGACCUGGGUAAGUCUGACUGGUUACCUUGCAUUCUUCUCUCAGCUACCUGUGGAGUACUUUGAACUGCAUCAACCACUCUUUCUUCAGCUUCAGUGGUUGUAAUUAUGGUACAUGAUUCCUCUCCGGCUGAUUAGGAAGAGACUGCAUUGUCUUCACUUGACUCGUUCACUUGACUCAUCAUGUCUAUCUUUCCGUUUGUCAUAUAAAUGACUUCACCUGGAACCAACAGAGGCUCUUCAUCUUGAUCAUCCUUGUUUCGUUUCUCACAAGAGAGAUAGGACUCAUCAAAGAUUACAUGUACACUUUCAUCAACACACUGAGUUCGCUCAUUGUAUAUCUUAUAGGCUUUAAUUUGAGAAGAGUACCCCAAAAAGAUUCCUUAAUCACUCUUGGCAUCAAAUUUUCCAAGAUGAUCCUUUCCAUUGUUGAGAACAUAACAUUUACACCCAAAUGUUCUUACGUGAGUCAGCUUGGACUUCCUUCCAUUUAGCAACUCAUAGGGAGUUUUGUUCAAAAGAGACAUGAUCAUACACCUGUUCACCAAGUAGCAGGCAGUGGUGAUAGCUUCAGCCCAGAAGUUCUUAGCAAUCCCACUAUUGAUCAGCAUUGUUCUUGCCAUUUCCUCAAGGGUUUUGUUCUUCCUUUCCACAACUCUAUUUUGCUGUGGAGUUAUUGGGGCUGGGAAAUUGUGAGUAAUGCCAUUCUCGUUACAGAGUUCAUCAAACUUAGCAUUGUUAAACUCUGUUCCAUGAUCUGAUCUAAUGCAUGCUACUCUUGAUUCCAUCUUCACUUGGAUUUUCUUCACAAAGGCUACGAAAACUUCAAAGGUUUCAUCUUUGUUCUAAGGAACAGAGUCCAAGUGAAUCUAGAGUAUUUAUCCACAAUCACAAAGAUAUAUCUCUUUCCUCCCCAACUUUGCACUCUCAUAGGGCCGCAUAGAUCCAUAUGAAGGAGAUCAAGUUGUUUUGAGGUGCUGACAUCCUUCUUUGGCUUGAAUGAGGAUUUCACAUGCUUCCCUCUAGCGCAUGCAUCAUAGACUGUGUUUUUUGAACUUUGACAUGGGCAGAUCACGAGCUAGGUCCUUCUAAACCAGCUUAUUUAGUAGAGAGAAGCUUGUAUGCCCCAGUCUUCUAUGCCACAGUUCAACAUCAUCAUCAACUGCUUUCAAGCAACUCAGAUCACUACUUUGCAUGGACUCAAAAUCAACAACGUAGAUAUUCUUGUAUCUUUUGGCCACAAGUACCACUUCACCAGUUACUAGGUUUGUAACUAUGCAUAUCUUGGACAAGAAUUCCACCUUUUUUCCUUUAUCACAUAUCUGAGGGACACUCAAGAGACUGUACUUAAGGCCAUUGACAUAGUACACAUUCUCAAUUGAGUGAGUGAGUGACUUUCCAAUUUUUCCAACACCAAGAAUGUACCUAUUUUUCCCACUUUCAAAGGAUGCAUUCCCUCCUUGCACGGUUUUUAGUGAAAGAAAGUCCAUGGUAUUUCUAGUCAUGUGCUUUAAGCAUCCACUAUCCAUGAACCGUUGUUGACUACUUUCUUUCACUGUUCCCUACACAAGUAGAUCACGGUUUAGCUUUAGGAACCCAAACAAAUUCGGGUCCCUUAUAAUAAAUAAGAGGAUGAUUAAGUGCUAUUCUGGUCUAUGCAGGUAACAUGCGUUUUUUAUGGGUGGAACCUAUUCCUCUUUUAGGAGUUACUCUUUCAGCAAAAACUUUGUUCUUCUGAAGAGACUGAACCCUGGCUUUGCAAUUUUCUUUCAAAUGCUUAUUGUUCCCACAGUAGGUACACAUCUAGUUAUCAGGUAUAAUUACGUACUUGCAAUGAGAGUUAUAAGGAGUUCUCUCCCUUUGAAACCCUAUUCUUUGCCUGUUUCCACCAUUAUUAAUGUACAUGUCAGUAAUAGCAUUUGAGGACCAGGUCCACUUAAGGGACUUCUCAAGAUCAUUUUUUACUCUUUCCAAUUCUGCUUGGAGCUGUCUAUUUUUCUCAAGUUCAGCACACAAACUAGUUCUCACAGUAUUUAACUUGUUUUCAAGCUUAAUGUGUGCCUCACUAGCUACUUCUUUUCCUUUUUUAGAAUUUCCUCGCCUACACUCAGCUCUGAGUCCCUCUAUUGUUUCCUUUAAGUAUACAAUCACUACUAAGAGGUCAUCUCUCUCCUGCUCAAUAAUAGUCACUUUAUCCACUAAGGCAUCCUUUUCUUUACUGAAAUUCUCAAUGGUUUCUUUUAAGUCAACUACUACUAUAAUCAGAUCAUCUCUUUCGUGUUCUAUACUAGUGAUUUUCUCAAUUACAACCUUCUUUUCAUUUUCUAGAUUAUCUAUAGUUUCUUUCAAAUCAACCACACAGAUUACCAAGUCAUCUCUGGUUUGCUCAGCAUCUCCUAAUUCUAUGGUCAAGCCAUCAUUAUCAUUUACAAGACUAUGAUAGGCAUCAAUUAACAUAUUUGCUAAUGACAUAAGUUUCUUAUGAGAGUAGGAUUUCAUAUUUCUCUGAACAUCCCUAAAGUUUACCUUAUCAUUAUCGUCAUUUUCAUCAUUGUCUGAUUGAGCCAUCAAAGGAAAUAUUGAAUCAUAUUCAUUUUUUUCACUUUCAACGGCUAUCAUAGAACUAUCACUUGCAUCAGUUUCUUCUUCAGUCUCACUGGAGGAAUCUCCCCAUGCUGCAAGAGCUUGUUUCACAACGUUAUCAGUGGUAUUCUUUCUUUUGAAGCAUUUGUCAAGAACCGGGUUCCACUUGGCUGCUUUAUCAGGGUUAUACUUGAAGUGUUCUUGCUUUAGGAGAGGGUAAUCUUUGAUAAAAUGCCUUGGAUUUCCACUUUUAUGACAAAGGUCAUAAUUCUUUGGUCUGCUGGAAAUGCCUCUCUUUGGUAUCCCUCCAUUCCUUCUGACCAUUUUCUGAAACCUUUUGGUUAGGUAAGCCAUGUCACAGUCCUCCUCACUUGAGUCAUUGCUUUCAACUUUGAGUACCAGGUUCUUUUCCUUCUUUGGUUCUCUUCUUUCACUGUCCUUCUUCUUCUUCAUUUCGCAAGUUUUAAGAUUUCCAACUAGCUCAUCUAUAGUUAGGGCCUGCAAAUCCUUUGCUUCAGUAAUGGCAUUCCCUUUACUCUCCCAUGAAUUGGGCAAAAACUGAGAAUUUUCCUCACGAGCUUGUUCCUAGGAAUGAUUUUACCAAGCGAGUGUAGCUCAUUUAUGAUGGAAGUGAAUCUUGUGUGCAUGUCUUGAAUAGAUUCAUCGUCUUUCACCCUGAAGAGCUCAUACUUAGUGGUGAGCAUAUCAAUCUUAGAUUGCUUUACUUGAGUGGUUCCCUCGUGUGCUGUUUGUAAAGCUUCCCAUCAUUCCUUGGUGGAUUGACAAGCUGAGAUCUUUUUGUAUUCAUCAGGUCUUAUGUCAAACACCAAAAAAAAUUGGCACAAAAGUUUUUCUCCACAAUUUUCUUAUCUGCAUCACUGUAUUCUUUCCUGGUUUUUGGCGUCGUCAGUGGAGGGUUUUCGCCCUUCUUUGUUGGGACAUAAGGACCAUCACAUAUAAUAUCCCACAACUCAGAAUCUUCUGCCAUGAUAAAGUCAUGCAUUCUUGUCUUCUACCAUCCAUAGUAUUGCCCAUUGAACCUGGGUGGUCUAUACGUAGACUGACCUUCUUCAAAAUUUGGUGGAGCAGCCAUGAGGAUCCUUCCUAGAUGUGAACCUGAUAGAAAGAACUCGUUCUGAUACCAAUUGAUAGAAUAUAUAAGCUCACCAAACUAUAUAGAGACCAGUUUCUAUAUAGGUUUCCACAGAUAACACUAAUGCAAUAGUAAGUAAAUGGUACAGGGAACUUUUACAUGGAAAAAUCCCUGAUCAAGGGAAUAAAAAACCACGACCUACACUGGUAGGAUUUCAACUUCACUAUGAGCAAUCUUUAGAUUACAAUCUAUGCAAUCUAGGAAAUAAACUCUUAAUCCCUCCCUAACUUGUAAUAUACCUAUUACAAGCCACUUUGCAAUACACCUAUUACAAAGACUUCAACUCAUGACUAACUCUAGUCACGACACAAACACUAAAGGUUUAUGAUUUUUCAAGAGUUCCUAAAAGAAGCUUCUAAAUAAGCAAAGUAGGAAUUUCAAUGAAGAACAAUUACAAAGUUACAACUCAACUAAAGACAUAUACAAGAGACUUGUUGUCGGAACUAGUCCAUAGUAGUGUUAUACUUUGUUCUUGAUGCACUUGAGAAUUGAAUGCUUGAUUGUCAAAUGCUUGAAUGCUUUUGUGAAUUCUCUAAGUGUCCAAGUGAUGUUUUGUCGUAAUGUUUAAUGUUAAUACAACAUGGAUGACAUCACAUGAAUGAUAUAAUCACUUCGUAGGUCAAUAAGAAGUGACUGCUGAACUUGUUCCCUAGGUGCAACUAUAAAUAGUGACUUCAACAGUCAUUGUAAAGGACACGAAUUUUCUGACCAACUUAUGCUACAUACUACUUGAAAAGCUCAAUAAUACUUUAUUUCUUGUCUAUUGAUAUUUAUAUUUCUGCCUUCGGAAGCCUGCUCUCGAAACCAAGCUAUCUUCUGCCUUAUCUCGAUUUCAACGCUAAGUUUUGUAUUUUAUUUAUCAUUUUGGGAUCAAAUCGAUUCUCUUGUCUAUAAACCACGUUAUAAAUUCAACUGUACCGUUUUACGGAUAAACAAUUGGCUACUUGAAAUGGAGGUUUACAAAUUAAAUGAUCAAUUGCCAUAUCAUGUACUGUGUUUAAAUUUGAUAUAUUGAAUAGUACAUGCGAUCAGAAAAUGAUCGACAUGCAUAUAAGCCAAUGGAGCUAGUUCAACUAAUAUCUUCUUUACAUUUUAUUUUCAAGUAAAACAUUACAUUCAAUUGUCGACUCUCCACAAAACAAGAAACCUAAUGGGGAACAGAAGGAGCAAUCACAAAUUAUUAAAUAACGUCUAAGCAUGAUUCAUCUACAUGAAAAAUAGUGAAAGAAGAAAAACGACUCCCAUAGAAGAAGCAAAGGCCAAAAAUUUUGGAGAAGCAGAUGAUGAGGAAGGAGCCUUAGCAUCUGAAGACGAUGAGUGAUCGGAAGAAGGCAAAGGUGAAGGAGAAGGAGCAAGAGGCGUACGUGACUUGAAGCCAAUGGUGAAGUUGCAAGUCCCNNNNNNNNNNNNNNNNNNNNNNNNNNNNNNNNNNNNNNNNNNNNNNNNNNNNNNNNNNNNNNNNNNNNNNNNNNNNNNNNNNNNNNNNNNNNNNNNNNNNNNNNNNNNNNNNNNNNNNNNNNNNNNNNNNNNNNNNNNNNNNNNNNNNNNNNNNNNNNNNNNNNNNNNNNNNNNNNNNNNNNNNNNNNNNNNNNNNNNNNNNNNNNNNNNNNNNNNNNNNNNNNNNNNNNNNNNNNNNNNNNNNNNNNNNNNNNNNNNNNNNNNNNNNNNNNNNNNNNNNNNNNNNNNNNNNNNNNNNNNNNNNNNNNNNNNNNNNNNNNNNNNNNNNNNNNNNNNNNNNNNNNNNNNNNNNNNNNNNNNNNNNNNNNNNNNNNNNNNNNNNNNNNNNNNNNNNNNNNNNNNNNNNNNNNNNNNNNNNNNNNNNNNNNNNNNNNNNNNNNNNNNNNNNNNNNNNNNNNNNNNNNNNNNNNNNNNNNNNNNNNNNNNNNNNNNNNNNNNNNNNNNNNNNNNNNNNNNNNNNNNNNNNNNNNNNNNNNNNNNNNNNNNNNNNNNNNNNNNNNNNNNNNNNNNNNNNNNNNNNNNNNNNNNNNNNNNNNNNNNNNNNNNNNNNNNNNNNNNNNNNNNNNNNNNNNNNNNNNNNNNNNNNNNNNNNNNNNNNNNNNNNNNNNNNNNNNNNNNNNNNNNNNNNNNNNNNNNNNNNNNNNNNNNNNNNNNNNNNNNNNNNNNNNNNNNNNNNNNNNNNNNNNNNNNNNNNNNNNNNNNNNNNNNNNNNNNNNNNNNNNNNNNNNNNNNNNNNNNNNNNNNNNNNNNNNNNNNNNNNNNNNNNNNNNNNNNNNNNNNNNNNNNNNNNNNNNNNNNNNNNNNNNNNNNNNNNNNNNNNNNNNNNNNNNNNNNNNNNNNNNNNNNNNNNNNNNNNNNNNNNNNNNNNNNNNNNNNNNNNNNNNNNNNNNNNNNNNNNNNNNNNNNNNNNNNNNNNNNNNNNNNNNNNNNNNNNNNNNNNNNNNNNNNNNNNNNNCACCAAACCAAUAACAUAUAAUCAAUUGAAAGGCGAUUUGACAUUAUAUAUGAAGAGGAACCUGAAUAUAUGUCACUACCUAGCUAUUCGGAUAUUAAGAAGGCAAAAAGAUAUAUAACAACAAUAACAACGACCCAGUAAAAUCUCACAGGUGGGGUCUGGGGAGGGUAGUGUGUACGCAGACCUUACCCCUACCCGAAGGAAUAGAGAGGAUGUUUCCAAAAGACCAUCGGCUCAAGAAAACAGAAAAGACGAGAAGAGAUAAUAUAUUGGUACCAUCUAAUAGAAACCAAAGAAAUAAUAACAACAUCAUAAGAAUUAGAAAAUAGUUAAAAUGCAAUAAAAAAAACAGAAAAUAAGCUCCGAUACCAUGAUAUAUACUUACGUGAUAUUAACACCUUUAGGAGACUUUGGAUCGAAACGAGUGACGUUUUCUUUGACCCAUUUCGUGGCUACAUCAGGAUUGACCAAAUCCUUGAGGAGUUGAUUGGAGAUGCCAAUCAUGACCUCAAUGCCAGUUCCUGCCAAGGCAUUCAAGAUGGUCUCAUCGUUAUUGAAAAGUUUAACCUUCUUAAUGCCAUUUUCUUGCAACAUUUUUACCACAUCCUUAGGAGGCAACUUGUGGGAGGAGAUAUCACCCCAGUUCACCCCAAGUCCUUCCACAUUGUGCCCCAAAAACACCAACAAAGUUAGUAGGGCCAAAAACUUUUUUCCCAUGUUUUUUUCCUUUUUUUGUAUUUUUGUUUUGGUUUUCCUGCUGGCAGGAGGAAAAUGGGAUACUGGGUAAACUUGAAUGCUUCAACGCCUGCCAAUGGUAACAACAAUGUUGGAGGUGAAUUUAUAGGGAAAGAAGGAGAGCAAAUGGAGGGUAUUGCAUGAAUUGCAGUCAUUCCCCAUUAGAUGUCAAACAAUGUCGAAAAUUAAGGAAUGGUUUGGCUCAUAAUUCGGACAUGCAGUUUAAAAAGCAUACGGAUUUAGACAAACAAAAAGUGGAAAAUAUAAUGUUAGUUAAUCUCUGAUAAAUUACAACCAGACAACAACUUGUGAACAAAAUUGCUCAAGUACGUGAAUUACUCCUGCUACAUUGGUGCGGCUACGUCAUGCAUUACUUCCACAUUUCAUCUGCAUUUUUAUUUUGUCAUUUAAAGGAAGGAAAUACUCUUUCAGCCUAAAUUUUUGUCACUUCUCAUUGGCUAGGGACCGACUAACUUAACCCUGUUAUUGAGUUAAAUUGAACAAAGUUAGAUUUUCCUCCGAUCAUUUAUAUAAAAAGAUACACUUAGCCAAACAAUAUUUAAUUUGACUAUUGAGAAACAGAAAAGCAAAAUCAUUUUUGCAUUGCGAAAUUACUAAAUUCACUAUUAGAUAGAACUAAUUUUUGCCAGUUGCCUACAAGGUACUAGGCGCAAUAAGAUAGAUCAAGUUAUAGUAUAAGGUGGAAAAAUAUUCCCCAAUAGGACUAAAAUGUUUUAAAUGCAAGACAAAAUUUUGAUGGCAAUUUAGUGGUUUUUAAUUGAAGAAAAAAUUAGAUGGCGUUUUAUUAUGGUAAUCUUAUCCACACAAAUACUUUUCAAUUCCUAAUUGUGAAUUGUUUUCCAUUGAAGGCAGCAAACAUAUUAUUUAUAAACAUUUGUCGUAGGAAGAGGGCGCGUAGGAUGGGGCAGAGAGUACAGUCAUCAUGAAAUCAUAUUCAAGUAAUCAUGAUUAAUAGUUUCAAAGCAUCACUAGAUAGACUAAGAACGGGCGGAUCGAGGAUUUUAAGAGGAUGGGUGCACGAUUGUACAGAUGUAGAUAUAGAAUUUAUAUUUGACUGGUUUAACUUUAGUCUCUUACUAUGACCUACUACAUUUUCAAAAUUAUAGAUUCAAAAUUAUAUUUUUAUUUGAAAUUUUAGUAGUUUUCACAUAUAUAUCUAUACUCCGUGCCGAAAACAAGACCGUUCAGAGUGGGAUUUGAAUUACCAAUUUCACUUGUAGAGGUGCACGCAAUAAUAAUUGCACCAUAAUAGAAUUUGAACAUGAGUUCACACAUAUAUAUUUAAGUAAUUUUGAAAAAAUAUAAUAUAGUUAUAUAUAAUUUAUGAUUUAGGAAGAGGAGUAUGGGUUCACGCGAUCCCAUAUCCGUCAAGUUGGACAGGAAUACCUGAACUUCCUGAGCUUACUCACACCCAAGAAAUGAAGGAAUCACUCCAUCUUAUUAACAAACUGCUAAUGAUCCUCUUAUAUACAUCUAUGUCCAAACUUUCCAAGUGCACUCCGUCGGACACUUAACACUUUAUAUAUAAGUAGUCUUGCUAAUUGUGCAACUGUAAUGUAACGAUCUGAUCGCUCAUUUUAAGAAUUUAUGUUCCAUUAGGUGGCUUAAGAUAUCGAGUAGCUUCACAUUGUGUAUUAUAACUUGCGUAUAUGGUCGGAUUCGAUUGUCGGGUGAUUCGAGAUUGAUAUGGAGGGAUGGUUCUCAUUUUAGAAACUUAAGUGGUAAAUAUUGAUCGGAGUUUGACUAUUAUAUAGAUGACUAUGGAAUGGUAUUUUGAUGAUUCCAAUAAUUUUGUAUGGUAAUUUUGAACUUAGGCGUAUGUCCGGAUUUAAAUUUGGAGGUCCAUAGGUUGAUUUGAUGCAUUUUGCAGAAGUUGAAAAGUUGAAGGUUUGGAAAGAUGAGAGGUUUAACCAGGAGUUGACUUUAUUGAUAUCUGGUUCAGAUUUUGAUUUCGGAAGUUGGAAUAGCUCUGUUGUGACAUUUGGGACUUGCAUGCAAAAUUUGAGGUCAUUCCGAGUUGAUUGAUAUGAUUCGGCGCGAGUUGUAGAAGUUGAAAAUUCAUUAGUUUAUUAGACUUGAAUUGAGGUGCAAUUCAUAGUUUCGAUAUUGUUUGAUGUGAUUUGAGGCCUAGAGAAGGUCCGCGUUAUGUUAUGAAACUUGUUGAUAUGAUCGGAUGGGGUCCCGGGGGCCUCGGGUGUAUUUCGGAUGUGCUACCGUCCAUUCCUUCAUAUUUUAGAGUUGUUAGGUUCUCUGUUAUUCAGCAGUUCUAUGCGUUCGCAUGUGGAAGAUGCGAUCGCGAAGUGUAUGUGGUGUGACUAAGGAGUUACUCAUCACGUUCAAGAGUUGGUCAUCGCAUUCGCUUCCAUCAUGUCAUGAUCGCAUAGAUUUAGAGCUGGAGGGGAGCUAGGGGAUUGGCUAUUGUGGUCGUGUGAAUAGUGUCGUGUUCGCAUAGUUCAGUUGAGCUGAUGGGUCGCAUUUGCGAAGGGUUAUUUGGCAGCUUAUGAUUUUGUGCUUCACGAUCGCAAAGCAUGUUCCCUAAUCGCGAAGAGAAAGACCUAGGCAGACUAUAUAGUACUCUAUUUUCUAGGGCUUUUUGUCAUUUUAUCUCUUUUUGAGUUAGAGAGCUCGGAUUUGGACGGUUUUGGAGAGAAUUUUUCACCAUUUGGAUUGAGGUAAAUAUUCUUGACUCGGAUUUAGUUAUAUUUCAUGAUUCCAACUUUAUUUUUAUCAUUUAAUUAGUGAUUUGAAUUGGAGAAAUUUGGGUUUUUUGUAAUAAAACUUCUAAAACACAAAAAUGAUAAUUUCAAGGUCUAUUUGAUGUCGGAAUUGGAUAAUUUUGGUAUGGUUGGACUCGUAUUGGAAUGGGUACAGUGUUCAAAUUUUGUGAGUUUUGUCGGGUUCAUUGUUGAGUUAUUUUUUCCCAUUUUAUUUUUUUUAUUGAGAUUCUUGUACAUAUUAUGGUUGAGUCAUGGGCUAUGUGUUGUGGUGAUAUUGGUAUUGUUGUUUUGGAAAGGGUUGUGGCCUAUGGGCACUUGUUGUGCGAGUUGUUAUGUUGUGUUAUUUUUUAUGUUAUCACAUGCAAUUUUGUUGUGUGGUUUGAUUGUGGUUAUGCGGAUCAUAAGGGUAGCAUAUCACUUUUGUUGAUUAUGUAGAGUGAUAUGGGUGGCUAUGGUGUUAUUGUCUUAACAGAGAGAUACAGGUGGCUAUUAUGUGGAGCAAUAUGGGUGAUUAUGCGAAGUGAUACAGGUGGCUAUUGUGUUAUUGUCUGGGCGUAGCAAUAAGGAUGGAUAUUAUGAUGUUGUCAAUACGGAGAGAUAACGUUUGCUAUGUCAGGGAGGAUAUGCGAUGUUCUUGGGGCACUAUGCUGAUGAUAUUUGUGUCAUAGUGUGAGUUUUUCUUGUGUAUGUCAUGCACCUUACGUGACUUGUUGUGUUUAUUUCAAUGAGCUACUCGAUGUCUGUAUAUUAGUUGUUGACUUGGACUGUACUAGUACACUCCACAAGCAUACAUUGUAUCAUGCCACUUAUACCAGUUCAAGAGUAUGAAACUUGACAUUUAUUGAUCAUGCCUAUGUAGUAUUGUAUUAUCUACUUCCAUUGUGAUAUUGAGCCUGUGAUCAUGCCAAGAGAAUUGUGGUAGUGAGCCUAUGACCAUGCCAGGCAGAUUUCGGUAUUGAGCCUGUGACCACGCCGAUCAAAUUUUGAAUGUGAUCCUGUGAUCAUGUCGGGUGGAUUGAGAUAUUAGCACGUGAUUUGUUCGUACAGUUGUGGUUAAUAAUGUGGGCACAAGGUACCGUGAGCAUAUGAUUGAGAUAUCUGAGUCGUCAUCAGUCCCAUCAUCAAAAGCUUGAUGGGCGUUAAUAUGUGCAUGUGGGCAUUCAUUGUUCCAAUGUGGUCCACCGCAAUGAUGGCAUCCUGAAGGAGGCUUUUUCCUCUGGUCAUUUUUGUUUGACGCAACACUAUUGCUGUAUAAGGAGGGAGCCUUAGAUCAGGCUACACUCCAAUCUCCCCCACUUCUACUAGGGCCACCAUUGCUAGGUUGGCCCCCUUUGAAUCCCACUCAGGCAGGCAGCUGAGGCAUAUCCUUCCAAUCUUCCACUUGAUAGUUCCUAAGGCAUGCAGCUGCUUGGAUCGCCUUGGGUAGGGUAUCUACCCUUUGUCGUUGCAGCUCCAUACAUGCAUAAGGUUUUAACCCUUCCAGGAAGGUGAAGAGCUUGUCUUUGUAACCCAUGUCACAUAUGUUUAGCAUGAGCGUGCAGAAUUUCCGCACGUAGUCCCGCACUGAUUUGGUCUGGUGGAGCUCCCAUAGCUUUCUCCUUGCGUUGUAUUCAACAUUUUCGCGGAAGAACUGUACGCGUAUGGCUUCCUUCAGUUCUGCCCAUGUCUCGAGAGCAUCUUCAUCGGCCCUGAUGGCUUCGUACUUCACCCGCCACCAGAGUUCAGUAUCACCCUGAAGAUACAUGGCAGCAGUUGCUACUUUCUUAGCUUCUUCUAGGCCUCCAACAACAUUGAAGUACUAUUUGAUGUUAAAGUUGAAGUUUUCCACUUCCUUGGCAUUCCUAGCCCACUGUAUGGCUUUACAGCGCCCCUGAUUUGGUUUCCACCUUCUUGAAGCAGGCCGUGUAAAGCAGCAUUGACAACAUUGAGAUGGUCCGUCAAGUUGUCAAUAGUUUGUUGUAUGGCAGUCAUUCUGUCUGCCUCUUGUACCCUAUAGGCUAAAUCCUCAGCACGCUCUUGUUGGAAUCCCUCGAAUUUGCCAAAAAUUCUGGCUGCCUCUGUGGCUGCCAUUUGUCGGUCUCCCUCGGAGUCGCGACUGAUGUUUUCUAUGUCAACUUCGACCUGGAGCACUCUGCGAUCUAGGUCGUCCAACCUUUGCACUAGACUGGUUCUUAAUUCACGCAUCGUAUCCCAAAUGGGGCGUAAUGCGGCAAUCGUCUCUUCAAGGGCCGCAAUGCGGUCCCCAUGAUUCACCAUGGUCAAAAAUGGUGGUAAUGGCAAUGCGUUCCCUCAUCCAAUAUCGAGCCUAGGCUCUGAUACCAACUGUUACACGGCGCCUUCCUCAAAUUCCUUGGAAGGGCGACGUAAGGCUAAGCAACUAAUGUCAGUGUAGUUACUGUCCGCCAACUGAGGUCCCCUCCGUACGCUAGACGAGAUUGUCAAUGUCGUACGGAAAAACCAAUGUCAAGAGCAAUUGAGAGAACAGAAAAGAGAAUUGAGAAUGAAAUAAAGCUUGAUUGCAUUAAUGAAAGCUAUUACAGAAAAGCAACAUGGUGUCGAGGGGGUAAGACACCAGUACAGAGAAUUAUUUGCUUGCUAGAAAGUUUGAUUGCUUGAACCCUCCUAAUAUUGCUUAAAAAAAUAAACCAAAACUACAAGACUAGACUUGACUAAGCUAGAUAAACAUAAUGGAAAUACAUGAAAUAAAACUACUCUAUAUUUACAAUGAAAAGGACUUAGUUUUCUGCAAGGCAGAAACACGUCCGUUGUCAGCAGCAUUGUCUUUGGCAUCACGGUCUGUGCGCGCGGCGCAGUUGGCAUCUACCUGCGGCUGGGCACUGGCGAGGGAUAUCGGUGGGGUGACAAAGGUACAUGCACGCUUUUCACUUGGCACAGCCAAGACCACGGGGCCGUCUAUGGCGCUAGGCGUUGGGAGGCUCCUAGGACGCCACGGGGCGCGUACAAGGGGUCAUGGGGCAUGGCUGGAAAGCCGCCUAUGACAGUUAUCAUGCUUUCUUCUCAGUUUCAGCAAGAACAAGUCCUUAAAAUAGUAAAUAGUGAUGAAGGUUAGAACUUAAAAUAUAUAAUCAUGCAAAUAAUAAUCUACAACUUCCAUAUGAUCGCAAAAUUAAAUUAAAUAGCAAUGAAAAUUAAAAACAAUGUUUAAAAGGACUCUAAAGCAAGCUUGUGAGAGAAUUUAUAAUUGAAAGAAGACUCGUCAAUGACAUAUUUACUCCAGAGAAAGACUUAGAAUAGGCAGCCCGGUACAUAAGGCAUCUCGUGUAAUAUUAGUGCAUGAUCUAUAUAAAGCAAAAUUUUAAAAUUUUAAGUUCUAAAUAUUAGGAGUUUCGGUCCAAAUAAGAAAAAAAUUAAUCAAUAAAAAUUUGAAACUUCUUAUAAUUAUAAAAAUAAUGAAAUGACUUAUUAAAUGAGGUUUUUUAAAUAAUAAUUAUCAUUAAUUUGGAGGGACAUCAUAUUUUCCUUUUUGUUUAUAAAGAUUAAGUUUGAAAUGGAAAAAGGCAUUAGUUUUAAAUUAGUCUUUUGUUGUAGGUAAACACUAAUUCAUUAAUAAUAUAUUACUAAAUAUUCUAGAAUUAAAAAUAUAAUAGGUACAUUAUCUCUUAUUAAUAAAAGAAUGGAAAAAACAAAUGUAAUGAUCCGGCCGGUCAUUUUAAGAAUUAACGCCUCGAUCCCCUAUUAACUGCUUUCCCCGUAUUUUGUUUCUGCUAUUGUGAGUUGCCGGGAGGAUUUAUUUGGAGUUUCGGAGAGUUUUGGGACACAUAGUCCCUAACUAAGAGUUUAAGUUGUAGAAUUUGGACCGUAGUUGGAGCAGUAUGAAGAUGGCUUCGGAAUGGAAUUCCGUUAGUUCUGUUAGCUCCAUUGGGUGAUUUCGGGCUUAGGGGUGUGUUCGGAUUGUGUUUUGGAGAUCCAUAGCUUAUUUAGGCUUGAAAUGCCAAAAGUUGAAUUUUUGAAGUUUCCGGUUCGAUAGUGAGAUUUUGAUCUAAGGGUCAAAAUGGAAUUUUGAAAGUGGGAGUAGCUUUGUAGUAUUGAAUGUGAUGUGUGUGCAAAAUUUCAGGUCAUUCAGACGAGGUUUGAUAGAGUUUUUGAUCGAAAACGUAAUUUGAGAGUUUUUGGAGCUCUUAGGCUAAUACAUGGUUAAUUCGAUGUUUCGAUUUUGUUUUAUGUACUUUGAGGAUUGGUAUAAGUUUGGAUAGUGGUCUAUGACUUGUUCGUGCAUUUUGGUUGAGGUCCCAGGGGCCUCGGGAUGAUUUCGGAUGCUUAACAGGAGGUUUGGAGUUGGGAAUUUGCAGCUGAAGCUGCUAAGUUUGUUGUCAUAACAGCACCUGCAGCUUGGGGACCACAGGUGCGAGCCCGCAGAAGCGAAAGUGAAGUCGCAUAUGCGGCCAAGAGGAAGACAAGCUGGAGCCGCAGAUGCGGAAAUUUUUGGUGCAUAUGCGAAGGCACAGGUGGGAGAAGGUCAUCGCAGGGGUGGUGGCUGGCUAAUAAGUGAAGAACUGCAGAUGCGCACCUAGGACCGCAGAUGCGGUUUUGCUGGGUCAGAACAUAUAUAUUUCGCCCUUCGGGAAUUUGGGCUAUUUUUCAUAACAUUUCAAACAGGAAGAAACUUUUGGGAGCAAUUUUAAGGAAGAUUUCAGAGGGAUUCAUUGAGGUAAGGUCCUUGGUUCCUAAGCUCGUUAUUAUAGUAAUUUUUAUCGUUGUUAGCAUGACAUUAAAGGGAGAAAUCAGUGGUAAAUUGGGGGUUAGUGUUUGGUUAAUUGGAGAGCUUUAAGUGGUGAUUUGAGGGACCAUUUGGGGUCCGAUUUUGGUACUUUUGGUAUGACUGAACUUGUGAGAGUGUGAGGAUUCUGAAUUUGUUAAUUUUACUCGAUUAUGAGAUGUGGGCUCGGGGGCGUUUUGGUCAUUUUUUCCUAAUUUCGCGUAUUAGCGUAGAAUUAAUUAGUGGAAUCAGUUACUUGAAGUUAUAUUUACAUUAUGCAAUUGAUUUGAAUAGAUUUGGGCCAUUUGGAGUCGAGUACUCGCGGUAAGAGCGUGGUUUCGGGUUGAGUUUUGAGCCAGUUCGAGGUAAGUGACUUGCCUAACCUUGUGUGGGGGAACUCCCCUUAGAAUUUGGUAUUGUUGAUAUCUAAAAUACCUUGUACGUGAGGUGACGAGUGCGUACUUGUGCUAAUUGUUGAAAAUCCUAUUUUCAUUAAGUAUCUAUAAUUGUGUUCCCUUUCCGGAUUAUACUACUUGCAAUUUAAGCCUACUGUUAGCUUAGAAAAGCAUGUCUAAUUGAAUUAAUUACUUUACUCGCUCAAACUGCCUUACUUGGAUUGUGUCUAACAUGUUAGGUUAGAAAUACCUAUUUUUUCCUUGGUAUGAAAUUUGAACUGGAUUAAGUAUUCUUCAUGUUGUUGUUGUGUGUUUACUUUUGGACUACGAGACGGUAUCCCGGGAGAUCCCCCUUCAUGUUUACGUUGGGACAACGGAUUUGUAUUCCAGGAGAUCCCCCUGCACAUUUAUAUUGGAACUACGAGAUUGCACCCGGUAGAUUCCCCCAGUACUAGGUAUUUACAUUUGGGACUACGGAUCGUUAAUUCGGGAGAUCCCCCCACACUAUGAGUUGUACUACGGGACGACACCCGGGAGAUCUACUGGUUAUUUAUAUUUCGUUAUCCUGGGAGAUCCUAGUUGUUACCUCUGUGAUGAGUUGUAUUCCUUCUGUGAUUAUUUUGUCUCUAUUGUAGUUGUUGUUGUUCUUACUAUCCUAUGGUAUUUCUUACUGUUGCACUUAAUUAUAUUGUCUUAUUCUAUACUAUUAUACCUUGUUUUUCAUCUAAACUCAGUAGGGCCCUGACUUUUCUCGUCACUACCCGACUGAGGUUAGGCUUGGCAUUUAUUGAGUACCGUUGUGGUGUACUCAUGCCCUUUCUACACAUAUUUUUCAUGUGCAGAUCCAGGUACUUAUACUCAGCCCUACUACCCUUGAGGCGCGGCGAUUCUCCAGAGACUUCGAGGUAUAUCUGCCGUGUCCACAGACUGAGGAGUCCCUUUCCAUUCUCCCUUAUAGUAUCAGCCCUUCUGUAUUUACUUUUGUUUAGACAUUCCGGAGUUAGACACUUGUAGUUAUUCAAUAGAUUGUAAUUUCAUGAGAUUCCAAGUUUUGGAAAAUGUUGUUCCAGUACGAGAGUUUGUAUUUUAUAUGUCGAGCGGCAUCUUAAGCGCUUCAUUAUUUCUGCAGUUUUUGGCUAGUUUUAUUCUAUUGUUUUCUGUUUCCGCAAUUUGUUAGUCUUACCUAGUCGUAGAUACUAGGUGCCAUCACGAUAGUUCACGGAGGGCGAACUGGGAUCGUGACAAGUUGGUAUUAGAGCUCUAGGUUCAUAGGAGUCAUGAAUCACAAGCUGGUUUAUUAGAGUCUAGCGGAUCGGUACAGAGAUGUCUGUACUUAUCUACGAGAGGCUAUGUAAAUGUUAGGAAAAAUUUCACUUUAUUUGAUUUCCUUGUCGUGCGAGAUUUUGAUAUCACAAUUCUAAAUUUAUGUCUUCUAUUCUCUCAUAGAUGGUAAGGACACGUACUACCAGAGAUGAUCAUGCACAUGCGCCCCCUACUGGAGCCAUUAGAGGUCGGGGCCGAGGUAGAGGCCGAGGACGCGCACGUGGUGCAGCCAGAGGACUCGCGCGAGUUUUGAUGGGAUUCAUAGGUUUUCAAUAUCUUUGCCUUGUGUUUUGAUGAUCUAACAAACUUAAUGUCAAGAACCAGAUAGGAAAACUUACUCAUUUGGAUUACACUGCAUCUAACGGAUUCUAGCCAAAUGUGAACUUGCUACAGUUUCAGGAGGUAAGAAUCUAGACAAGGACCCGAUACUCCUGUGGGUUCCUCACGACAGUACAAAGUCAAUUGGACAUAGUUGGAAACGAAGAUUAUGCCGUACUGCACUGUUUCCAGCACCCACUCAUUCUCUGACCAACUCAAGUGCUCACAUCACUUCAAGUGAUCAUUCUCAAGGUGUACCUACAAUGAGUCUAUACAAAGCAUCAUUCAAGUUACUCAACUCAAGACAAUCUAGGCAUUGUGCACAAUAACCAGAUCAGGAACCUGAUCCCUUGGUACUUAUCUGACAGAAGUCCAAGUCAACUAUACAAUUGGAACGCAACUGAGUGAUUGAUCGCAACUGUACAAAGAGGAACACAACAGGGACCUGGUCCCUUAGGGUUCUCUGACAAAAGUACAAGUCAACUAUAGCUGGAAAACAAUUACAGAAGGUGAUUGACUGCAACAGUGCAACAGACAGUGCAGCAGUCACUUCCCAUUAAGAUUGGACGUCACUAAGGAUGUCUUGUGUAGCAUAAACCUUAUGCAUGGCAUACGUUUCAGGUUCCAACACUUGCAAAUACAGAAAACGAAUUCUCUCAAAUGCCCAAGAACUCUCUCAAGAACAAAGCUGCUACAACCUCAAGGACCUGAUCCAAGAUUGAAGAUAUCUUAUGUCCUUAGGUUGUUGAGACUUUGUUAUGUGUUCUUCAUUGUAAUUCCUAGUUUGCUUUCUUAGAAGCGUUGUCUUAGGAACAAACCAAAAUCCGUAAACUCCCUGAGUUUAUGUUGUGGCUAGGUUAGUCAUAAGGAAAAGCCUUUGUGACCGUAGNNNNNNNNNNNNNNNNNNNNNNNNNNNNNNNNNNNNNNNNNNNNNNNNNNNNNNNNNNNNNNNNNNNNNGUGGGAUUUUUCCACGUGAAAAUCCACCGCCUUAUUUACAUUCAGCUUUACUAGCAUUCACUGUAGAACCCAAUAAAGGACCAGGUACUAUACUAUUUGGUGGACUCACACAAACUUAGCACUAUACCAAACUGAUAUAGGACCAGAUCCCUAUACAAUUUGGUUCAUCAGUACUUUCAGAGGAAACACAUAGAGAACCCGAUUCUCUAUAAAGUCUUGUGGACGCACAGUCUCUAACAAGUGGUAUCAGAGCAGGUUCUUUCUAUUAGGCUAACACCUAGGAAGGAUCCUCAUGGUUGCUCCACCAACUCUUGAAAGGAGAAAACCAAAGAAGGAAAAGUACCGGGUACUUAAAGCUGCUAACAAUGAUUCGAGUGAGGAAGACAGUUACAUGGCUUACUUAACCAAAAGGUUUCACAAGAUGGUCAGAAGAAAUGGAGAAGUGCUAGAAACGGACAGCUCUAACAGAUCAAACAACAAUGAUCUUUGUUACAAGUGCGGAAAGGCUGGACACUUCAUGAAAAAUUGUCCUCUCUUGAAGCAAGAAUUCUCCAAGAACUUCAAAAGAAAAAGACCAGCUGAAUAUGACUCAACCUUUGCAUUGAUGGCACAACCAGAUGACAAUGAAGACGAAGACAACAAAGAGGUAAAUUUCAGGGAUGUUAAGAGAAAUCUGAAAUCCUAUUCUCCAAGAAAACUCAUGUCUUUAGCUAAUGUAUUAAUCAAUUCCUUUCAUAGGUUUGUGGAGGAUAGAGAUUCUUUGACCUUAGAAUUAGCAGAAUCUGAACAAACUAGAGAUGACUUAACGGCUGUAGUUACUGACCAUAAGAGAACCAUUGAAACUUUCAGAAAAGAAAGGAAUGAUCUUUUGGCAGAAAUUACAGAACUAAGAAAAUCAAUAGUGAAACAUGAGAUUAAGUCAAAACCUGAAAAUCCUGGAAAAGGAAAGGAGAGAGCCAGUGAGGAACACAUUAGGCUUGAAAAUGAGUUGAAAGCUUCUAGAACUAGGAUAUGUGGUGAACUCGAGAAAAAUAAGUAACUUUAAGAUGAAUUGAAGAGAGUAAAAAGUGACCUUGAGAAAUCUCUCAAGUGGACCUGGUCCUCAGAUGCUGUCACUGCCAUGUACUUCAAAAAUAGUAGAAACAGGCAGGGAAUCGGGUUCCAAAAGGAGAAAACUCCUUACAACCUUCACAGCAAGUACGUCACAGUUCCUGAUAACUGGUCGUGUACCCACAGUGGGAACAAUGGGCACUUCAAAGAAAAUUGUCAGGCCAGGGCUCAAUCUAUUCAGAAAAACAAAGUGCUUACUGACAAAGUGACUACUAACAGGGGACCAGGUACCGCUCACAAGAAACCAAUGUUGCCUUCAUGGACUAGAAAGCCCUAAUCCAUCCCUUCUAUCAUAACAAGGGACCCAAACUAGUUUGGGUUCCUAAUCUAACCCAUAAUUUAGAUGUACAGGGAACAGUGGGAGGAAGCGGACUACAAUGGAUCAUGGACAGUAGAUGCUCAAAGUACAUGACUGUAAAUAUCAUGGAUUUUCUCUCACUGAAAGCCCUGCAAGGAAGGGAUGUACCCUUUGGAAAAUGGAAAGAAGGGGUAAAUUCUAGGUAUGGGGAAGAAAACAAGGUAGAAGUUUGUGUCUAAGCUGGUGAUAUAAGCUGCUUGAAUGAGGUUGAUGAUGAUUCGAAGACAUGGCAUAAAGGAUUGGGGGGAUACAAGUUUCUCACUUCUGGAUAUAUUGAUGAAGAAGGACCUGGUCCAUGGUCUGUCAAACUCAAAAUUCAAAGAACACAGAGCAUGCAAUUCUUAUGGGAAUACUGAGCAGGAGUGAAAAGAGGUGCAUGAUUAGACCUCUCCUAAACAAAACCCCCUAUGAGUUUCUUAAUGAAAGAAAAUCAAAGAUAACUCAUUUGAGAACCUUUGGAUGAAAAUGUUAUGUUCUCAACAACGGGAAGUACCAGUUUGGGAAGUGUGAUGCAAAAAGCAAUGAAGGAAUCCUUCUGGGAUAUUCCCCUCAAAGCAAAGACCAAAAAGUCCUCAACAAAAUGGCACACUGUGUGGAAGGAAGUGUUCAUGUGCUAUUCAAUGAGACAUCCUCCUCUAAAAAGGAGGAAAUAAUGAUAAUUAAGAUAAUGAACCACUUUUGGUCCUUGGGAAAUAUCUGUAGUUUCAAAUGGGAAGGCUGAUUUGAUGAGUAAGAUAAAGUAGAAAGGUGAGAGAUAAUGCAACAUCCUCUUCUACUUCUCAAGAGGAACCUGGUACUUCCAUUACUACCCCUAGCCUUCUUAGCAUUUCUAUCCCAAAUAAAAUCCAAAAAUAUCAAGAAAGCCUUAUAGGAUGCAGACAGAAUUACUGAAAUACAAGAGGAAUUACAUCAACUUGAAAGAAACAAGGUAUGGCACAUGGUACCUAGACCCUCAGACAGAACCGCCAUAGGGACCAGGUGGGUAUUAAGGAAUGAGCUGGAUGAACAUGGAAAUGCUACAAGGAAUAUAACAAGGCUUGCUGUCCAAGGAUUCAAUCAAGAGGAAGAGAUCGAUUAUGAUGAGACUUUUUGCCCAGUAGCUCGCAUGGAAGCUAUUAGGAUCCACAUUGCCUUUGUUUCACAAGAGGAAAGAUUGACAAUACAUUGUCUUUGAAGAAACGGGGAAAGAACCUGCUCAUUGAUCAGAUUUAUGUGGAUGACAUCAUAUUUGGAGCUACAGCUAACUCAUUAUGUGAAAAAUUUGCUAACCUCAUGGGAAGUAAGUUUGAAAUGAGUACGAUGGGGGAACUGAAUGUCUUCCUGGGUAUUCAAGAGAAGCAAUCCAUAAAUGGAAUGUGUAUCAGUCUGAAAUGCAUCAAAGAACUCUUGAAAAAGUUUGCCAUGGAAGCAUGGGAAUCAUUGGAUCUCUACUCUACCUUACUGCCAGCAGUCCAGACAUUGUAUUCAAGUGUGGGAUUACGUGCAAGGUUCCAAUCAAAUCCUGAGGAAUCUCAUCUGAAGGCUACUAAUAAAAUUUUGAGAUAUUUGGGCAUACAGAACCUGGUUCUGUACUAUCUUUCAUGGGACAAUUUCAACCUUAUUAGUUAUGCUAAUGCUAAUUAUGCAGGUUAUCUGGAGGACAGGAAAAACACAUCUGGAAUGGCUCAUUCCCUUGGAUCAUGCUUUAUCUCAUGGGGUACAAAGAAACAAAACUCAGUAGCUCCCUCAACAACUGAAGCAGAAUCUAUUGUAGUUUCCUCGUAAUGUGCUCAUUCACUGUGGAUCAAGCAAUAAUUGAAAGAUUUGGUGUAUAUAUUGAUUGUGUACCACUUUUAUGUGGAAAAAAUGUCUUAUUUUGUAUAAGAUUUUGUUGCACAGAAGAUCAAAUUGCAGAUAUCUUCACCAGGGAACACUUUGAUAAACAAGAUGGCAUUGGGAUCACUUGAACCUAAUUGAGAAGUUGGUUCUGCUGACAUGACUAUGAUAGUCACACUAAGGUAAAAUUGGCUAAAGUGUUUUCUGACUAGGCCUAACUCACAUCUAUACCGUUGCAGGUAAACACGCAUAAUGAUCAUAGAAGCUAAAGAUACAGUGUUGAACUUUGAAGGAGAGCUGCAAAACCCCUUUUACAAAAACAGGUUAGGAACCUGGUUCCUGCACCACAGGUUAGUAGUAAUGUAUUUUUCACAUGCUUGUUCAAAAAAGGGGAUAGCAAAAUUAAUUCAAGUGCCACAUCAUCUGACUUUUUAGACCAGCAGUUCUAAACCAUUGUCUUCCUUUGUAUCUUUUCAAUUUUUCCUUUAGAACUCUCUACCACUUCUCUCACCAUGGCCAACGAAUAAUCAUCUUUUUCUCUUGCCAUCGACAUCAUUCCCACAUCUCCUCCUCCCUUAACACCAUUACCUGAAACCCACUUCUUCACUAUCCUUGAUACUCCUCAUCUCCAGUCACCUCUACUCUUCUCUAGUCACCUCAUCUCCAGUCUCACUUCCAUGAGUUGCAAACCCUACUUCUCCUAUGUUCCUGAAUCUCAGGGGGAAGAAACUCCAUUCUUAGGGGAUGGAAUAACUCUGGAGCUUUUUGAGUCUCUGGUUCAUGACAUCGUCAUAAAAGAAUCUGUUGAAGAACCUAAUUCUCUUUUAGCUGAAACAAACUAGGUGGUUGUAGAAGAAAGAGGCUUUUGAGUGUGCCUUGCAUAAGAGUAAGCAGAAUAUUUAAAAAAAGAAGAAGAGGUUGAUGAAAUAGGGGGAAGCAGUGGCUGAUAAACACAUUUCAGUUGUUGAGGUUGAUAAAGAUGUUGUGAAGGAACCUAGUUCCUUAGUGAAAAGAUCUACAAAAGGGUGUGGCUGAGAAAGAUUUAUUUGAGGGUGACAUUGUGGCUGUUGCAAGCAGGAAUGGGAAGUUUAUUGAAAUAUCUAGAAAACAAAAGUGGGAAACUGUGGGAGGACCUGGUUCAAUGAAGACCAUUCUAAGUAACAGUGGCCUUGGGAAGAAAAGUUAAUUCAGAAAAAAGUCUUAUGGGGUAGCACGCUUGCCUGACAAUCUAGGAGAUGGCAGGUAUGAGACAAGUUCUGGACUUAGGAAACUAGUGGAGAAUCUGCGGGAGAAACUGCUUGAAUAACAGUUGUCUGCAACUACCUGCAUGGACCUAGCUCUCAAAAUCAUUGCAACCUCCUCUUCCCAAGGAUCCUCUCAAUGGCCAGUUAUCUUUUGCUCUGAUGAUUUUGUGCCUGUUGUUUCUCUUUUUGUUUGUCUUUUUGUGAUGGCAUGUUGGAUUUCAUCGUUGUUGCUCUUGUUGAAACAGUCAAAUUUCCUAUCAAUAAAACAUCUCUUAUUUUGCUUGUACAAUGCUUGUUUUCCCUUUUGCUUCUCUUUUCUAUCAUGAUUGUGUGCACAUAUGUGGUAUGAGUUAGCCUUGUUGGACUUCUUUAUUCAUUUUUGUAUGAUUGUGUCUUUUUGUUGAUGCCAAAAGGGGGAAGAAUAGAGUCAGGGGAACCUAUGGUCUCCUGAUAUUCAAUCUGGUUCUCUGAACUCUAACUCCUUAUUUUCAAUGCUAAGUUUGUCAUCAUCAAAAAGGGGGAAAUUAAUGGGAUUGAUAGGUUUUCAAUAUCUUUGCCUUGUGUUUUGAUGAUCUAACAAACUUAAUGUCAAGAACCAGAUAGGGAACAUUUGUAAGUAAGGGCAUAAAGUCAGGGGGACCUGUGGUCUCCUGAUAUUCAAUCUGGUUCUCUGAACUCUAACUCCUUAUUUUCAAUGCUAAGUUUGUCAUCAUCAAAAAAAGGGGAAAUUGAUAGGAUUGAUAGGUUUUCAAUAUCUUUGCCUUGUGUUUUAAUGAUCUAACAAACUUAAUGUCAAGAACCAGAUAGGGAACCUGACUCACUUGAAUUAUACUACAUCUAACAAAUUCCAGCCAAAUGUAAAUUUGCUAUAGUUUCAGGAGGUAGGAACCUAAACAAGGACCUGAUACUCUUGUGGGUUCCUCACGACAGUACAAAAUCAAUUGGACAUAGUUGGAAACGAAGAUUAUGCCACACCGUUCUGUUUCCAGUGCCCACUCAUUCUUUGACCAACUCAAAUGCUCACAUCACUUCAAGUGAUCAUUCUCAAGGUGUACCUACAAUGAGUAUAUACAAAGCAUCAUUCAAGUUACUCAACUCAAGACAAUCUGGGUGUUGUGCGCAAGAACCAGAUCAGGAACCUGAUCCCUUGGUACUUCUCUUAUAGAAGUCCAAGUCAACUAUACGAUUGGAACGCAACUGAGUGACUGAUUGCAACUGUACAAAAAGGAACACAACAGGGACCUGGUCCCUUAGGGUUCUCUGAUAGAAGUACAAGUCAACUACAGCUAGAAAGCAAUUGCAGAAAGUGACUGACUGCAACAGUGCAGCAGACAGUACAACAGUCACUUCCCAUUGAGAUUGGAUAUCACUAAGGAUGUCUUGUGUAGUAUAAAUCUUAUGUAAGACAUAAGUUUCAGGUUCCAACACUUGCAAAUACAGAAAACAAAAUUUUCUCAAGUGCUCAAGAACCUCUUCAAGAACAAAGCUGCUGCAACCUCAAGGACCUGAUCCAAGAUUGAAGAUAUCUCAAGUCCUUAGGUUGUUGAGUCUUUGUUAUGUGUUCUUCAUUGUAAUUCCUAGUUUGCUUUCUUAGAAACGUUGUCUUAGGAACAAACCAAAAUCCAUAAACUCCUUAAGUUUAUGUUGUGGCUAGGUUGGUCAUAAGUAAAAGCCUUUGUGAUCGUAGUAUUGUAAAGUGGCUUGUAAUAGGGAGNNNNNNNNNNNNUUUUUAUUCCCCCUUGUGUGGGAUUUUUCCACGUAAAAAUCCAUGGCCUUAUUUACAUUCAACUUUACUAGCAUUCACUGUAGAACCCAAUAAAGGACCAGGUACUAUACUAUUUGGUGGACUCACACAAACUUAGCACUAUACCAAACUGAUAUAGGACCAGAUCCCUAUACAAUUUGGUUCAUCAGUACUUUCAGAGGAAACACAUAGAGAACCCGAUUCUCUAUAAAGUCUUGUGGAUGCACAGUCUCUAACAAGCUGCCACUGAGGUGCCACCAGCAGUUUCAGCUGGAGUCCAGGCACCUGAUAUGCCUACUGCUACUGCUACUACUCCAGCUCUCCAGGAUACUCUUGCGUAGUUCAUUAUCAUGUACACCACUCUGGCUCAGGCAGGGUUGUUUCCCCUUGCUGCAGCUACAUCUCAGGUCGGGGGAGGAGCACAGACUCCCACCGCCCAUACUCCUGAGUAGCGAGUGCAUAUUGAUCAGGUCCUAGAGAUUAUUCCUGUACAGCCUGUAGCCCCAGAUCAGCCUGAGGAUAUGGCAAUGACUUCCGAGGAUGAGCAGCGGAGGCUUGAGAGGUUUAAGAAGUAUAAGCCUCUUAUAUUCAGUGGUCUAGCAUCAGAUGAUGCUCUGAGAUUUCUAUAUGAGUGCCAUCGUAUUCUCCGUACCAUGGGUAUAUCAGGAUCGAGCAGGGUUUCCUUCACUACUUUCCAGCUUCGAGGAGUCGCCUAUGAGUGGUGGCGUACUUAUGAGUUAGAUAGUCCGGAUGAGGCAGCUUCCCAGACUUGGACUCAGUUUUCAGAUAUAUUCCUUAGAGAGUAUGUUCCUCAUAGCCUUAGGGACGCAUGGCGCGCAGAGUUUGAGCAUUUGUGCCAGGGUGCUAUGACUACCUUAGAGUAUGCCGUCCAUUACACUAGCUUGGCUAGACAUGUGCCAGCCUUGGUUUCUACUGUUUGCAAUAGGGUUCGCCGGUUUAUUGAGGGGCUUAUUCCCAACAUAUAGUCUAGCAUGGCUCGUGAGUUGGAGAUGGUUAUUUCUUAUCAGGAGGUGGUGAGCAUUGCUAGGAGAGUGGACAGUAUGCAUGCCAGGGAUAGAGAGGAGAGGGAGGCCAAGAGGUCUCGAGAGUCGGGCCAUUACUCUGGUGCCCAUACCCCAACUACAGUUCGUCAUGGUAGGGGUUAUAUGAGUCACCCCAUUCAUUCAUCUCUUCCAGCAGCCAGCGGUAUUCCAGCUCCUCCUAGACCUCAAGAGCCUAAUUAUGCACCUCCAGUAUCUAGUGCGCCUCCUGCACGGAGUGCUUUCAGUGGUCAGUCCAGCAGACUUGUCCUGAGCCAGUCAUAGCCGCCAUGUCCUCUCAGACCAUAUUUUGAGUGUGGUGACACAUGACAUAUGGUGAGGGAUUGCCCCAGACUUAGGAGGGGUGCACCUCCACAGACUUCUUAGCCACAAUGUGCCCCGUAGAGUUCUCAGACUAUGGUUGCAGUUCCAGUUACUACCCUACCUACUCAGCCAGCUAGAGAUGGAGGUCGGGGAGGUAGAGGUCGCUCUAGAAGGGGAGGCCAGGCCAGAUAUUAUGCCUUUCCUGCCUAUACUGAGGUUGUUGCCUCUGAUUCUGUCAUCACAGGUAUUGUCCUGGUUUGUCAUAGAUAUGCAUCAGUUUUAUUCGAUCCAGGCUCCACCUAUUUGUAUGUGUCCUCUUAUUUUGCCCCAGAUUUGGGUGUAUAUCGAGAUUCUUUGAGUUUCCUUGUUUAUGCUUCUACUCCUGUGGGAGAUUCUCUUGUUAUGGACCGUGUUUAUUGGUCGUGUGUGGUUGCUCUUAGUGGUUUUGAGACCCGAGCCGAUUUAUUAUUGCUCAACAUGGUAGAUUUUGAUGUUAUCUUGGGCAUGGACUGUUGUCGCCCCAUUAUGUUAUUCUUGAUUGUCACACCAAAACCAUAACACUGGCUAUGCCAGGUGUACCACGAGUAGAGUGGAGGGGUACCUUAGAUCAUACUUCCAGUAGAGUUAUUUCAUUCCUUAAGGCUCAGCGUAUGGUUGAUAAAGGGUGUGACGUGUAUCUAGAUUAUGUGAGAGAUGCCAGUAUUAAUACCCCUACAGUUGAUUUAGUCCUAGUAGUACGGGAUUUUUCUGAUGUAUUUCAAAUUGACCUUUCGGGCAUGCCGUCCAAUAGAGAUAUUGAUUUUGCCAUUGAUCUGUUGUCGGGCACUCAGCCCAUUUCUAUUCCUCUGUAUCGUAUGGCCUCUCCUAAGUUGAAGAAGUUGAAGGAUCAGCUACAAGAAUUGCUUGAUAAGGGUUUUAUUCGGCCCAGUGUAUCACUUUGGGGUGCUCCUGUCUUGUUUGUGAAGAAAAAGGAUGGUUCUAUGUGUAUGUGCAUUGAUUAUCACCAGUUGAACAAAGUUACAGUGAAGAACCGUUAUCAUUUGCCUCAUAUUGAUGAUCUAUUUGACCAUCUACAGGGUGCCUGAGUGUUUUCUAAGAUUGAUUGCAUUCAGGUUACCAUCAAUUGAAGAUUCGGGAGCCAUACAUCUCGAAGACUGCUUUCAGGACUCAGUAUGGUCAUUACGAAUUCCUUGUUAUGUCGUUUGGGCUGACCAAUACCCCAGCAGCCUUCAUACAUUUGAUGCAUAGUGUGUUCCAACCAUAUCUUGACUCGUUUGUUAUUGUCUUUAUUGAUGAUAUUCUGCUGUAUUUCCGGAGUUGGAAAGAUCAUGAGCAACACCUGAGGACAGUGCUUCAGACUUUGAGGGAAAAGAAGUUAUAUGCAAAGUUCUCGAAAUGUGAGUUUUGGUUGGAUUUCGUGGCAUUCUUGGGCCACGUGGUAUCGAGUGAGGGUAUUCAGGUGAAUCCAAAGAAAGUGAAAGCAGUACAGAGUUGAUCCAGACCAUCCUCAGCUAUAGAGAUCCAUAGUUUUCUCGGCUUAGUGGGUUAUUACCGUUGAUUUGUUGAGGGGUUAUCAUUUAUUGUAGCCCCUAUGACCAGGCUGACCUAGAAGGGUGCUCCGUUCUAGUGGACGGAAGAGUGUGAGGUGAGCUUUUAGAAGCUCAAGACAGCUUUGACUACAACCCCAGCAUUGAUAUUGCCUAUAGGUUCGGGGUCUUAUACUAUCUAUUGUGAUGCCUUGAGGAUUGUCCUUGGAGCGGUAUUGAUGCAGAACUGUAGGGUAAUUGCCUACGCGUCCAGACAAUUGAAGGUACAUGAGAAAUAUUAUCAUGUCUAUGAUCUUGAGUUAUUUGCUAUUGUUCACACCUAGAAGAUCUGGCGUCACUAUUAGUACAAUGUGCCUUAUGAGAUCUAUACUAACCACCGGAUCUUGCAGCAUCUGUUCAAGCAGAAGGAUCUUAAUUUGCGCCAAAGGAGGUGGUUAGAGCUGCUGAAGGACUAUGAUAUCACUAUUUUGUAUCACCCGGGCAAGGCCAAUAUGGUGGGCGAUGCUUUGAGUCAUCGGGUAGAAAGUUUGGGGAGUUUGGCUUAUUUACCAGUAGUAGAGAGGCCCAUGGAGAUGGAU